GUCGUAACAAGGUUUCCGUAGGUGAACCUGCGGAAGGAUCAUUACCACACCUCAAGUCCACUGGCCUCGGCUGGUGGCAAUAUCGAAACGACCGUCUGGCAACAGAUGGGCGUUUUGAGUCCCGCGGACCUUUACAUUUAUGGAGACUUAAUUGUUUCCCAAGUUAAAACCCCGUUUUGUGAUGGUUAACUCUUGUCAUAAAAUAUGAACCAUGAAUCUCUUACUCUGGAGAAACUACCGGCUUCGGUCGACAAGUACUCUGGCUAAAGAACAAUGUCAAAACACUUUCAGCAAUGGAUGUCUUGGCUCCCA
rnacentral:misc_RNA from 1 species